CCUACGGGCGGCAGCAGUGGGGAAUAUUGGACAAUGGGCGAAAGCCUGAUCCAGCCAUGCCGCGUGUGUGAAGAAGGCCUUCGGGUUGUAAAGCACUUUCAGUGGGGAAGAAAGCCUUGGGGCUAAUACCCUCGAGGAAGGACAUCACCCACAGAAGAAGCACCGGCUAACUCCGUGCCAGCAGCCGCGGUAAUACGGAGGGUGCGAGCGUUAAUCGGAAUUACUGGGCGUAAAGCGCGCGUAGGCGGUCUGAUAAGCCGGUUGUGAAAGCCCCGGGCUCAACCUGGGAACGGCAUCCGGAACUGUCAGGCUAGAGUGCAGGAGAGGAAGGUAGAAUUCCCGGUGUAGCGGUGAAAUGCGUAGAGAUCGGGAGGAAUACCAGUGGCGAAGGCGGCCUUCUGGACUGACACUGACGCUGGGGUGCGAAAGCGUGGGUAGCAAACAGGAUUAGAUACCCCUGUAGUC
rnacentral:rRNA from 1 species